rnacentral:rRNA from 1 species
UACAGCCUACGGGGGGCAGCAGUGGGGGAUAUUGCACAAUGGGCGCAAGCCUGAUGCAGCGACGCCGCGUGAGCGAAGAAGUAUUUCGGUAUGUAAAGCUCUAUCAGCAGGGAAGAAAAUGACGGUACCUGACUAAGAAGCCCUGGCUAACUACGUGCCAGCAGCCGCGGUAAUACGUAGGGGGCAAGCGUUAUCCGGAUUUACUGGGUGUAAAGGGAGCGUAGACGGUCCUGCAAGCCAGAUGUGAAAGCCCGGGGCUCAACCCCGGGACUGCAUUUGGAACUGUAAGGCUAGAGUGUCGGAGG